AGAUUCAAACAAUCAAUUGAAGAAGCUGGGUGCGCAAGAAUGUUUACAAACGCAGUCCAGAAGCAGGAGAUAAUUGUCGGGAUAACUGCCGUCAAGAUGAUGCUGAAUGACUGUUUGUUUGCUAGAUGUCAAUUCGCUACAGAAGCCGAAUGGAUUGGGGUAGAUUCCGUUGCAAGUUUGCACCAAGCGAUUCGGACAUCCAGAUCCACUAGCGCUGCGGAACAUCCACUGGCGCUUAUGAAAUGCUCCAUGACCCUCGCCAUGACCUCCAUGAUGUUAUGCUCGCACAUAUAUCAAGGCUGUUGCUCAUCAUGUAACCAAAUCAGGGGAUUCUGUCCGGUGCUUAUUUGCUUAGUCUUCGGCUGCCGGUGAUUCAACAUCCGGAGGAUUUUUUACGCAAUAGAAUGACGUCGCGCUGACCACCAGUGUCUGGAAUUACCGCCGAGACAGCCGCUGGGGGUAUUUUGACUGAUGGUGAACGAACCGGGACGAAAGAGGCUUUUGAUACGCGAUGCGGCAAG